rnacentral:rRNA from 1 species
AGUAACAACGUAUCCAACCUGCCGAUAACUCGGGGAUAGCCUUUCGAAAGAAAGAUUAAUACCCGAUGGCAUAGUUCUUCCGCAUGGUGGAACUAUUAAAGAAUUUCGGUCAUCGAUGGGGAUGCGUUCCAUUAGGUUGUUGGCGGGGUAACGGCCCACCAAGCCUUCGAUGGAUAGGGGUUCUGAGAGGAAGGUCCCCCACAUUGGAACUGAGACACGGUCCAAACUCCUACGGGAGGCAGCAUG